UGAAUACGAGAUGCUACGGCGUCGAAGCAGUCUAUGUCAUACUUCCAAGAAAAGCUUGCACUGUCAUAAACAAAUAAUGCCUGUACCAUAACCGACACAGGUGGGUAGGUAGAGUAUACUAAGGGGCGCGAGAUAACUCUCUCUAAGGAACUCGGCAAAAUGACUCCGUAACUUCGGGAGAAGGAGUGCCUUAUUUUAUAAGGUUGCAAUAACAAGAUCCAAGCAACUGUUUACCAAAAACACAGGUCUCCGCUAAGUCGUAAGACGAUGUAUGGGGGCUGACGCCUGCCCAGUGCCAGAAGGUUAAAGAAGUUGGUUAGCAUCCGCGAAGCUGAUAACUGAAGCCCUGGUGAACGGCGGCCGUAACUAUAACGGUCCUAAGGUAGCGAAAUUCCUUGUCGGGUAAGUUCCGACCCGCACGAAAGGCGUAAUGAUUUGGAUACUGUCUCAGAGAGGGGCUCGGUGAAAUAGACUUGUCUGUGAAGAUGCGGACUACCUGCACCAGGACAGAAAGACCCUAUGAAGCUUUACUGUAACUUGAAAUUGAAAUUGGACUUUACUUGCGCAGUAUAGGUGGGAGGCGUUGAUAAUAUUCUUGCGGGAAUGUUGGAGCCAUCAGUGAGAUACCACUCUUGUAAUGUUAGAUUUCUAACUUUGUAUCAUUAUCUGGUCAAAGGACAGUUUCAGGCGGGCAGUUUGACUGGGGCGGUCGCCUCCCAAACGGUAACGGAGGCGCACAAAGGUUUCCUCUGAACGGGUAGAAAUCGUAUCUAGAGUGUAAAGGCAUAAGGAAGCUUGACUGUGAGACCUACAAGUCGAGCAGGGACGAAAGUCGGUCUUAGUGAUCUGACGGUGCUGAGUGGAAAGGCCGUCACUCAACGGAUAAAAGUUACUCUAGGAUAACAGGCUGAUCUCCCCCAAGAGUUCACAUCGACGGGGAGGUUUGGCACCUCGAUGUCGGCUCAUCGCAUCCUGGGGCGGUAGUACGUCCCAAGGGUUGGGCUGUUCGCCCAUGAAAGCGGUACGCGAGCUGGGUUCAGAACGUCGUGAGACAGUUCGGUCCAUAUCCGGUGUAGGCGUUAGAAUAUUGAGAGGAGCCUUCUUUAGUACGAGAGGACCGAGAAGGACAUACCUCUGGUGUACCAGUUAUCGUGCCAACGGUAAACGCUGGGUAGCUAUGUAUGGAGUGGAUAACCGCUGAAAGCAUCUAAGUGGGAAGCCCACCUCAAGAUAAGUAUUCUC
rnacentral:rRNA from 1 species